UACGGGAGGCAGCAGUGGGGAAUAUUGCACAAUGGGCGAAAGCCUGAUGCAGCUAUGCCGCGUGUAUGAAGAAGGCCUUAGGGUUGUAAAGUACUUUCAUCGGGGAGGAAAAAACAAAACUAAUAAUUUUAUUUCUUGACGUUACCCGAAAAAGAAGCACCGGCUAACUCCGUGCCAGCAGCCGCGGUAAUACGGAGGGUGCUAGCGUUAAUCAGAAUUACUGGGCGUAAAGAGCACGUAGGUGGUUUUUUUAAAGUCAGAUGUGAAAUCCCUGGGCUUAACCUAGGAACUGCAUUUUGAAACUGAAAUACUAGAGUAUCGUAGAGGGAGGUAGAAUUCUAGGUGUAGCGGUGAAAUGCGUAGAUAUCUGGAGGAAUACCUGUGGCGAAAGCGGCCUCCUAAACGAAUACUGACACUGAGGUGCGAAAGCGUGGGGAGCAAACGAGGGAUUAGAUACC
rnacentral:rRNA from 1 species